CAGACACAGGGCCAAUUCAUGUGAGAUAAGCACGGCCCAUUCUGGGCGCACGUUCCUCUCCGCUGGGAGGGGACCCGACGGAGCUCCUGCUGCUUGGCCUUCUACCAGCACCCCCUCCCCGCCCCCAGGGCAGGCCCUCUGUGCGCCUGGCUCUCGCUGCUGCUCCGGGGAUGCUGAGUCAUGCAGGAAGAGAUCAGAGGCUGGGGCCCUUGGAGACUCCCACCACUGAACAGAGCACGAGUGCACGAACAGGAGGAGCAGCAGAGGGAGAAGCAGGCUCUCCACGGAGCAGGGCUCAUCAGUCCCAGGACCCCGGGAUCAUGACCGGAGCUGAAGGCCGACGCUUAAUCGACUGAGCCACCCAGGGCAGAAACCGGUUCUUUCAUUUUCCCUGAAAUUUCCCUGGAUUUCGCCAGCUCAGCCUCACGACGUGUGAGUCAAGAAGGCUUCCUUACUUCAGGAUUCCUCACGGUCUCUGCUACGCUGCUGGACACCACGGAGCUCUGAGAAGGAGUAUUGUUUGCACAUGUAUGUGACCAUUAAACCUCUAUGUCAUGGGUGUGGCAGGCGGAGUAAUGGCCUCCCAAAGAUGCCCAUGUCCUAAUCCAUGGAAACUUACACCGUAAAGGGAAUUAAGAUAGCAGAUGCAAGUAAGGUUGCUAAUCAACUGACCUCAAAAUACCGAGGUUAUCCUGGAUGGCGUAGGAAGGAUCAAUGUAAUCAAAAAGGUCUUUUUAUUAAAAAGUGGAAUUGGACGGCAGAAAAGGGUCAUUUUAAGAGUGAUACAGAAGGAACCCUCGUGUCCUGUUGGUGGGAAUGUAAAUUGGUGUAGCCACUGGAAAGCAGGUUCCUCAAAAAAUUAAAAACAGAGGGGCACCUGGGUGGCUCGGACAGUUAGGCUGACUCUUGACUUCAGUUCAGGUCAUGAUCUCAGGGUCAUGAGAUCAAGCCCUGCACUGGGCCCUGUGCUCAGUGGGGAGUGUACUGAGACUCUCUCCCUCUCCCUCCGCCCCUUUUCCCCCAUGUUCACACUCUCUUUCUCUCAAUAAUAAUAAUAAUAAUAAUAUCUGAAUCUUUUUUAAAAAAUUAAAAACAGAAAUACCAUGUAAUCCAAUAA